rnacentral:rRNA from 1 species
GCUACUAAGGGUCAGGGGGAUGCCUAGGCGAAAAGAGGCGAUGAAGGACGUGUAUGGCUGCGAUAAGCUUUGGAAAGCUACAAAUAAAACUUUUGAUCCAAAGAUUCUCUGAAUGGGGGGAACCCAUCCUUUAGGAUAUCCUAACGUGAAUACAUAGCGUUAGGAGGCAAACCCAGGGAACUUCGAAACAUCUCAGUACCUGGAGGAAAAAGAAACAACUGAGAUUCUCCGCAGAUGGUGCGAGCGAACGGGAAGAAGCCCAACCGUACCACUUGUGGUACGGGGGUCGGGACCGCGACAUGAGACUUUAGAGGAAUAGGAAAACUGGUCUGGAAAAAGGCCGCCAUAGUGGGUGAUAGCCCCGCAUCCGUUUCAAAAGAAGAAGCUCUAGCAGUAUCCCGGAGUAGGGCGGGGCACGAACCCCCGUCUGAAUCUGGGUGGACCAUCAUCCAUACAAAUACUCUUCCGACCGAUAGUGAACUAGGUACCGCGAGGGAAAGGUGAAAAGAAAGCGUAGAACGCUUGCGAAAAAGAACUCCGAAAACCGCAAGCCUGCCAAGCAGUGGAGCCUCUUAUGGGGUGACCGCGUGCCUUUUGCAUAAUGAGUCAGCGAGUUAAUGUCUGCAGCAUAAGGCACCCAAGGGUGGAGCCAUAGGGAAACUGAGUCUUAAACGGGCGUUUAGUUGCAGGUAGUAUUAGACCCGAAAACCUGGUGAUCUAACCAUGGGCAGGGUGAAAGUCUGGUAACACGACCGGAGGCCCGAACCGGUUACUGCUGAAAAGUAUCGGAUGACCUGUGGUUAGUGAAAGGCCAAUCAAACCGGGAAAUAGCUGGUUCUCUCCGAAAUAUAUUGAGGUAUAGCCUCGGACGAACAUUGUUGGGGGUAGAGCAUCAAUCGGGCUAGGGGCGGCUUUACCGCUGUACUAAACCCAAUCAAACCUGAAUACCAGUAAAAUGCUCAUCCGGGAGCGCCGUCUAGGGUGAUAAGGUCCUAGGGACAAAGGGAAAGAGCCCAGACCAUCAGCUAAGGUCCCAAGGUAUACUAAGUGGAAAACGAUGUGGAGACGCACAGACAACCAGGAGGUUGGCUUAGAAGCAGCCACUCCCUUCAAAGAAAGCGUAACAGCUCACUGGUCAAGCGUCUCUGCGCGAAAAUGUAACGGGGGCUUAAGUAUACCACUGAAGCUAAGGCGGAUGUUUGCCCUGACGGAGCGUGGUAGAGAGCAUUCCCAAGUCUGGUAAGGAUGGCUGAGAUAUCAGAAAAGCUUAUGCUGACAUGAGAAGCGAUAAACAGGUGGAGAAGCCUGUUCGCCGAAAAACCCAAGGUUUCUGGGCACGGUUAAUCCGCCCAGGGUGAGUCGAUACCUCAAGGCGAGGCCGAAAGGCGUAGUCGAUGGAUAACAGGUUAAUAUUCCUGUACCGUGUGAGUCGCGCUAAAGGAGUGACGGAGAAAGGUAGAUCUGAGCCCUGUUGGAUUAGGGCUUCUAAACAUGUAGAUAGCUGAGUAGGUAAUCCGCUCGGCCAAAUCUGAGAUGUAUGGAUAAAUGGAUUAAUACCCGGGAAAAGUUUCGAUCCUAUGCUUCCCAAGAAACCUUCGUUAGUUUAGUUUACAUGAUCGUACCGUAAAAUGGACACACGCGGGUGAGGAGAGAACUUCUAAGGCGCUUGAGGAAUCUUGUCAAGGAAUCCCUGGUGCUGGUUGUAACUUCGGAGAAGGCAGCUCUUAGACUGGGAAGAUUGAUCGUUUAACAAAACACAGGACUAUGCAAAGAUGACAAAACGACGUGGGUGGUCUGACUCCCGCUCGGUGCUGGAAGGUUAAGGGAGUUGUUAGUUCUUCGAGCGAAGCAGCGAACCGAAGCCCCAGUAAACGGCGGCUGCAACUAUAACGGUCCUAAGCAGAAGGAAAUUCUUUGUCGGGUAAAGCUCCGACCUGCAAUGAAUGGAGCAACGAUUGCCAUGACUGUCUCGACAAGAAGCUCAGCGAAAUUAUUUGCGCAGAUGCCGUAUACCCCGCAGAAGACGGAAAGACUCCUGUGCACCUUUACUAGCUUGACAAAGAAUUUAGGAACGUCCUGUGUAGGAUAGGUGGAUUUCAGCCGAAGCGCCAGCUUCGGUGGAGCUAACCUGAAAUACCACCCUGGUCGUUCUUGGACCUCUAACCCAUUCGCCUUACUGCGCGAAGCUGGAGACACUCGUCUGCGGGUAGUUUGAUCGGGGCGGUCGCCUCCCUCAAAGAGUAACGGAGGCGUGCAAGAAAUUCCUCAGGCCGAUUGGAAACCGGCUGUUGAGUGCAAAAGCAUAAGGGAGCUUGACUGUGAGACUUACAAGUCGAGCAGGUGCGAAAGCAGGUUUUAUGGACCGGUGGUCCCAUGGAAGGGCCAUAAUGCUCAUCGGACAAAAAGGUACGCUGGGGAUAACAGGCUGAUCUCCCCAAGAGUCCACAUCGACGGGAGGUUUGGCACCGGAUGUCGGCUCAUCGCAUCCUGGGGCUGUAGUCGGUCCCAAGGGUUUGGCUGUUCGCCACCAGCGGUACGCGAGCUGGGUUCAGGAACGUCGUGAGACAGUUCGGUCCCCAUCUUCUGUGGGCGCAGGAAAAUUUGAGAGGAUCUGACCCCAGUACGAGAGGUGACCGAUGGACGAAUUCUGCACCAGUUGUCACGCCAGUGGCACAGCUGGGUGGCUAUAUUCGAAUGGAUAACCGCUGAAAGCAUCUAAGUGGGAAGCCAACCUCAAGAUAAAUUUCUCCUGGGACUUGUUCCCUAAAGACCUCUUCUUGUAGACUGCGCGGUUGAUAGGCCGGUGCGUGUGCGCAGCAAUGCAUUUAGCUAACUGGUACUAAUUGGUCGUGCGGCUUUAUCAU